UAGGGAAUAUUGGACAAUGGGGGCAACCCUGAUCCAGCCAUGCCGCGUGAGUGAAGAAGGCCCUCGGGUUGUAAAGCUCUUUUGUCCGGAAAGAAAAGCUUCGGGUUAAUACCCCGGGGUUCUGACGGUACCGGAAGAAUAAGCACCGGCUAACUUCGUGUCAGCAGCCGCGGUAAUACGAAGGGUGCAAGCGUUACUCGGAAUUACUGGGCGUAAAGCGUGCGUAGGUGGUUGUUUAAGUCUGAUGUGAAAGCCCUGGGCUCAACCUGGGAAUGGCAUUGGAAACUGGGCAGCUAGACUGCGGUAGAGGGUAGUGCAAUUCCCGGUGUAGCAGUGAAAUGCGUAGAGAUCGGGAGGAACAUCUGUGGCGAAGGCGACUGCCUGGACCAGCACUGACACUGAGGCACGAAAGCGUGGGGAGCAAACA
rnacentral:rRNA from 1 species